rnacentral:rRNA from 1 species
UACGUAGGGUCCGAGCGUUGUCCGGAGUUACUGGGCGUAAAGCGCGCGCAGGCGGUCCGCGAGGUGUCACGUGAAAGCCUCGGGCUCAACUCGGGAGGGUCGUGGCAAACCGGCGGACUUGAGGCCGGUAGAGGUGGGUGGAACUCCUGGUGGAGUGGUGAAAUGCGUAGAGAUCAGGAAGAACACCCGUGGCGAAGGCGGCCCACUGGGCCGGAACUGACGCUGAGGCGCGAAGGCGUGGGGAGCGAACGGG